AUGAGAGGGAGACACCAGGAUGCCGAGGCAACAUGGGGUGCAGGAGAACGCAGGCCUCUGGGGGAGCUUGAAGCCGGGCAGCUUCAGAGAGGGCACUUGGCAGCCAGCAAAGGUCAGCUCGAGCUUGGGACGAGGGGUGGGAGCCACCAUGUCAGGAUGGAGGUGGGAGCUGGGUGCAGAAACCUACAGCUGCUCCCAGAAACUCCAGAGAAGCCUGGACACACAGGGUCUGAGAAGCCGCAGGACAGCAGUGAGGGGGCGUCCACCGCGGGCAGGGCCUGGCCUAGCAGGAAGUGGCCAUUGUAUGGUCAUGGAGAGGGCGGGACGGUAGACCCCAGAGUGGGGGCAGUGCUGGCUGUGAGAGGAAGUGGGGCCAUGAGGACCGGGAGCCCCAGAGGAGUAGGUCGGUGGGGCUGCUUGUUUCAAACCCCCAGUGCCAGAUCCACAGGCUUGUCCAUCUGCUCAGGUGGGGGCUACAGCCCCCAGGGGGCACACAGGCCCAUGGCCCUCAGCAGCAGCACAUUGAGCAGCCCAGUUCUGAGGUCCCUGAACUCCUCCAGAAGGAGCUGUGCAAGUUGGAAGGGAAGGGCCCAGCUGCAAACCCGGGCUCCUCGUCCACCUUCCUGGCUCAUGGAUUCCCCUCCUUGGGGCCUGAGGCCAAGUCACCACCUCCGGGGAUGUCUGGCGUUUCCGCCAUGGGGACUGUGGGUGGAGACGGCCUGGACUCCGUCAUGGAAGGGGGCAAGGGCUCCUCUGCUGUCGCCCAGAGGAGCUGGAGCAGAGCCACGCAGCAGUGAGAAGCAGCUGCCUGUGCCAGCGUGCACCACCCCUGCAGUGCCCACACCCUGCUGCCUCCCCGCUCCUGGGAACCCAGCAGCCCUGCUCUCUGCUUGCUUCUCUCUCACUGGGCUUAGAGCUCUUGGCCUCAGCAUCCUCGGGUUGAGUAGGAAGGCCUCCGUGCAGGCCUCGGCUUGCUGCUGCCCUGAUCCAAACCCAGGCCUCAGCUUUUGGAAAGUCUCCCAUGCUCCGCGCAGCCCCUGGCACCUCCAGGGGUGA
rnacentral:lncRNA from 1 species